rnacentral:rRNA from 1 species
ACAUGCAAGUCGAACGAGAAGCUAGGCUUCGGCCUAGUGGACAGUGGCAGACGGGAGAGUAACGCGUGGGAAUCUACCCAGCAGUACGGAAUAACCGCGGGAAACUGCGGCUAAUACCGUAUACGCCCUUCGGGGGAAAGAUUUAUCGCUGCUGGAUGAGCCCGCGUCGGAUUAGCUUGUUGGCGGGGUAACGGCCCACCAAGGCGACGAUCCGUAGCUGGUCUGAGAGGAUGAUCAGCCUCACUGGGACUGAGACACGGNCCAGACUCCUACGGGAGGCAGCAGNGGGGAAUAUUGGACAAUGAGCGCAAGCCUGAUCCAGCCAUGCCGNGUGAGUGAAGAAGGCCUUAGGGUUGUAAAACUNUUUCAGCGGGGAAGAUAAUGACGGGACCCGNAGAAGAAGNCCCGGNUAANUCCGNGCCAGCAGNCGCGGNAAUACGGAGGGGGGCUAGCGGUUGUUCGGAAUUACUGGGCGGAAAGCGCGCGUAGGNGGNCCGCGUAGNAAGGNGNGAAAGCCCCUGGGGCUUAAAACNGGGGAACU